rnacentral:tRNA from 1 species
GCGCGAGUGGUGGAAUGGUAGACACGCUAGUCUUAGGAACUAGUGUCGCAAGACGUGGAGGUUCAAGUCCUCUCUCGCGCACCA